UGAGUAACCUGCCCUUCACUCUGGGAUAACUCCGGGAAACCGGGGCUAANACUGGAUAUGACUCGAACAGGCAUCUGUUUCGGGUGGAAAGAUUUAUUGGUGGAGGAUGGACUCGCGGCCUAUCAGCUUGUUGGUGAGGUAAUGGCUCACCAAGGCGACGACGGGUAGCCGGCCUGAGAGGGCGAUCGGCCACACUGGGACUGAGACACGGCCCAGACUCCUACGGGNGCA
rnacentral:rRNA from 1 species